AGUACGGGUCGUGACAGCCCCAUGCCUCCUUUACACAGUGAGAUUGUCCUCCUUGCAUCUAGGAAGUAACAUGUGUGGUGUUAAUUUUUCCCCGUGUGAAUAUCCAGUUCCUCACCAACUAUUAGUGGAGUGGCUUAGCCAGUUGAUAAUCCUCACUUGUAAGGGUAUGGCAAAUUAUGCUUUUUCUAAUCCUACAUGUUUUUGUUUUUGUUUUUCCCACAAAGUAGAGCACUCCCUCAUCAACUGGGAACUAUAGUUCCUGUUGGGAAAGUUUUAAUUAGAAAAACUAUAAUUACAAAAUUAUAGUUCCUUUUACUAAAUCUCUAAUUUUUCGUUUUCAUGGGGACAGGCUUGAAAUAACGUCCCUUCCCACACCGAGGUGCUAUCAGUCUAUGGGAUAAAUGUCUUCCCCUUUCAGUGUUGUGUGUGAGCAAACGCCAUGCGGUAUUUUCAAUUUAUGUCAGAGCCUGCUUUAGCUUUUCAAUCAUCUGUUGUGUGAACAAUAGGGGCAUGGCUGCGUUGAGCCACCGUCGGGCCCUAGAAAUACCCCAGGAACCUCAAGCCACACGGGGCUCAGAGGCCAGCUUUGUAAGCCAUGCUCUGGACUCCAGGCUUCUCUAAAUGGACUCAGGACAUUCCUACUUGUGCAUUGGGCACGCAGGUGUCGGGACACCCUCUGUGCGCGCGACAGGCGUGCACUUCGCCCGGGAUCUCUGGGUGAACUGGACGGCCCCGCUGGCAUCCGGUCUCUGCCCGGGUCUAGGACCACCUGCACCCGCCGCUCCCCCGCUGACCGAUAGAGGGCCGUUUGUACAUUUUACUGAACAGUCUACAGUUUGUGCGCGCACAGAACUAGACAUGAAACGCACAUUUGAAAGUAGUGAAAAACUUUACCCCAAAAAAUUAUGAAAAAAAUAAUUAGUGCAAAAAGUUAGCUUCAGAGCAAAUUAAAAUAAUCUUAUGCCUUUGAAAUGAUCUAGAAAAGAGGGUGAUUCCUGACUGCCCGGCUAGCUCAGUCGGUAGAGCAUGGGACUCUUAAUCCCAGGGUCGUGGGUUCGAGCCCCACGUUGGGCGGCUUGCGUUGUUUUGUUUUUCCAGUUGCGUCUUAGGUCUCGUCAGCGGUAAUCGUUUUAGCAGCUUCAGUUCUCGUCAGUGGUAAUAACGGACUUCAAUCUGGAGUUUCUUAUUUUCAAACAACACAGGACAAAAAGCUAUUAAGAUUGAACGGAUUACAAGAGAGAACUAUGCAACUCCUCAGUAAUUCUCAAGCAUUCUCCACAAUUACCAUAUGUUACUAUCAUCAAUUCAAACACAAUUGCAGACUUUGGAAGAAACACAUGGCAAUUUUCAGCAUCAAAAAUGAAGAUCCCUAAAUGCCCCUAUUAUUACAGAGCAGUACUUCAUCUCUAGGUGAUGGGAGGUGAAGUAGGAGCUUUCCAAAGGCAACCCAUGGCAGAGAAGCGAGAAGCGCCAACUGGGGAAAUUUGGAGACAGACUCACAGGAGAGCGAUAUGUGAAGAUGAAGGCAGAGGUCGGGGUGAUGCUUCUACAAGCCAAGGAAGCCAGAGACGGCCAGCAACCACCGGAAGUGGGGAGGGGCAUCGAACAGCUUCUCCCUCACAGGGUCAAACCGAACCAACUCUGCUGACAUUUUGAUGUUGGACUUCUAGCAUCCAGAAUUGUAAGACAAUACAUUUGUUGUGU